GGAGACGUAUCGAAGUGGUCAUAACGAGAACGACUCGAAAUCGUUUGACCCGCAAGGGUCCGUGGGUUCGAAUCCCACCGUCUCCGCCA
rnacentral:tRNA from 1 species